ACCUGGCUGGCUCAAGUCAGUAGAGAAUGUGACUCUUAAUCUCAAGGUCAUGAGUUUAAGCCCCAUGUUGGGUA
rfam:Canis lupus familiaris chromosome 10, whole genome shotgun sequence.